UUGAAUCCUUAGGAUGUUGCUGGCCUUUUUGGCAUGUGCACUCCGCCUUUCAAUACACCUGUGAACUCAUUGUAGGUGCAGAUGUAACAGUCUGUUACCUAUGUUUUUUUAAACACCCUUUAAAAAUGUAUAUGGAAUGAUGUUGGUAUAAACUUAAUA
rnacentral:misc_RNA from 1 species